UUCGCAAUGCCCGAAAGGGUGACGAAGCGACGCCGCGUGCGGGAAGAAGGCCUUCGGGUUGUAAACCGCUGUCGGGAGUUAAGAAAUGCAAGGAUGUUAAUAGCGUCUUUGCUUGACUAAGGCUCCGGAGGAAGCCACGGCUAACUCUGUGCCAGCAGCCGCGGUAAUACAGAGGCGGCAAGCGUUGUUCGGAAUUAUUGGGCGUAAAGAGCACGUAGGCGGCUGUGUAAGUCGGUUGUGAAAGCCUUCCGCUCAACGGAAGAACGGCAUCCGAUACUGCAUGGCUUGAGUGCGGGAGGGGAGAGUGGAACUUCUGGUGGAGCGGUGAAAUGCGUAGAUAUCAAAAGGAACACCGGCGGCGAAGGCGACUCUCUGGCCCGUAACUGACGCUGAGUGUACGAAAGCUAGGGGAGCAAACGGGAUUAGAUACCCCGGUAGUCCUAGCCGUAAACGAUGGGCACUAAGUAGAGGGGUUUU
rnacentral:rRNA from 1 species